rnacentral:rRNA from 1 species
CUUGGUUCAGAUUGAACGCUGGCGGCAGGCCUAACACAUGCAAGUCGAACGGUAACAGGAAGCAGCUUGCUGCUUCGCUGACGAGUGGCGGACGGGUGAGUAAUGUCUGGGAAACUGCCUGAUGAGGGGGGAUAACUACUGGAAACGGUAGCUAAUACCGCAUAACGUCGCAAGACCAAAGAGGGGGACCUUCGGGCCUCUUGCCAUCAGAUGUGCCCAGAUGGGAUUAGCUAGUUGGUGGGGUAACGGCUCACCAAGGCGACGAUCCCUAGCUGGUCUGAGAGGAUGACCAGCCACACUGGAACUGAGACACGGUCCAGACUCCUACGGGAGGCAGCAGUGGGGAAUAUUGCACAAUGGGCGCAAGCCUGAUGCAGCCAUGCCGCGUGUAUGAAGAAGGCCUUCGGGUUGUAAAGUACUUUCAGCGGGGAGGAAGGUGUUGUGGUUAAUAACCGCAGCAAUUGACGUUACCCGCAGAAGAAGCACCGGCUAACUCCGUGCCAGCCGCCGC